GUGUUUUCCCUCUGGUCUCGACAAAAGAGUUGUUCUGAGUGCUUAAUCUACUCUGGAGCCCAUAUUUUAUACAUUAUAUAAAUUUGUCAUUUUAUUUUGGUGGUACUGGGGAUUGAAACCAGGGCCUUCCACAUUCUAGACAAGUGCUCCACCACUGACUAUAUCCCCAGCCCCAAAUUCAGCAAAUAUUGAUCUGUACUUUUUACUGUGUUAGAUGCGUUAGGAAACAAAGGUAGCAUCACGGUCCUAACCUCAAGGAUGCUUACAGUUGUCUAUUUGGGGAAACAAUGUGCAGGUGAUGCCAGCUACAUUACAAAAGGCAAUACUUAACUAUGGACUUGUGGUGGUAUGGAGUCUGAUGGUAGUUAACUAUGGGCUAGUUUGGGGAAGACUCAAUGGAGGAGGUGGACUGUGGCUCAACAGAGAAAAAAUAACAUUUGUAGACCAGAAAAUUGAGGGGAUAUUCAGGUUAGUCUUGGGAAACUGGGCAAGAAUACAGAUUGGGCUUGUUUCAAAUAAGAGAGAAUUAUG
rnacentral:lncRNA from 1 species